CGGGACGGGUGAGUAAUGUCUGGGAAACUGCCCGAUGGAGGGGGAUAACUACUGGAAACGGUAGCUAAUACCGCAUAACAUCGCAAGACCAAAGAGGGGGACCUUCGGGCCUCUUGCCAUCGGAUGUGCCCAGAUGGGAUUAGCUAGUAGGUGGGGUAACGGCUCACCUAGACGACGAUCCCUAGCUGGUCUGAGAGGAUGACCAGCCACACUGGAACUGAGACACGGUCCAG
rnacentral:rRNA from 1 species